rnacentral:rRNA from 1 species
AAGGAUAAUCUCUGAACAUGCCCAAUUGCAUCUGAUUUUGCAAGCCAAGCAGGGUCAGGCCUGGUUAGUACUUGGAGACCACCAAGGAAUAGCAGGUGUUGUUCUUG